GGAUGGGUGCCACACUUACACUUACACACUAAUGUUCUGUCUUUCUCAUGGCAAGCGUCAUUUUAAAGAAGUUUGAUCAAGUGUGAAGUGACGGGACAGAGCAAAACUCUCUUGGAGGAUCGGCCUGUCUUCCCAGGCUAAAACCACUCCCAAACAUUGACUCGUAUCAUGCAAAAAUUUUGAGUUCGCUUGGAGUUCACAGAGGCUCAAGCUACUGAAUUAGAGCUAUUUAGAAGAGGCAUAGAACUAGAUUCUAAUUAAUGAACCUGAUCAUCACCCUUGUUAAGUGUGGUUGUAGGGAAGAUAAAGAAUUAAAGGAAACUAAAGAAGAGGAAAGAUGAAGAGGAAUGGGCUCACAAGUCAGCAGCUUUCACGUGCACGCCAGCCCGGGGGUUUCAUGCCCUCUUCACAGCAGCUCUCUGCUGUGGUGGGGAAACCGAGUGUUUAGAGAUUAAAGGAGUUGCCUCACGCCAUGCAGCCGAUACUCAAGCCUUUCUGAUGCAGUAAAAACAGACUUUCCUACCCCGGUGGGAAUCUUCCCUGAAAGAUUCCGAGUCGCUGACGAGGGAUAUUUGCAGACUCUGGGCACAUCCUGAAUUGAUAUUUGCCAGAACCGUGCAAACCAAAGGAAGUCAGCGUUGCUGACUGAGGUCCUGGAAGCCUCACCUUCCCAGGCCCUGCAGCUGGAGAGUUUGGGUCAAGACCCCUGGAAAUGAACUUCAUGAAAUGCGCAAUUUGACACAGCUGUGCCAGCUGGAAUACACCUCUAAGAGCUGAGUAGAGAAGAAACCUGAACCAGGAGACAGCGUAAUACCGCAC